ACCUCCUCGGAGCAGGCCCCCGAAGUGGGGACCUCAGCGGGAGAACUCCUCGAAGAGGCUCGGGGAACUGGAGGCUCGGCGUCUGAAGGAACAUCGACGGUGGGGGCCGCCUAGGUAGGCAUGGCCGAGCUCGUCUCCUCCGCUCUGGCCUUCUUUGCCGACCCGGAGGCCACAGCACCUUUUCUUUUGUGAACCUUGAGGC
rnacentral:lncRNA from 1 species